AUUAUUUCUCAGAGCCAUUUUGUUUCACCAUUUGUGUGGAUUAAGGGCACAUACCAAGUUAUUGCAGGUCAGAUGAUAUACAGAAACCCAUCAAACCUCUGUAAAAUUGCUUCAGCUUGUUGGCUGUUAUCAUACAGCACGGGAGAAAUUUCACAGCACCCUGCAUUUCCCCUCCAAAGCAACUGGAGCAAAUUCUGGAAUAAAAGGACUGGAUGAAUGGACUCUAGUCAAGUGGAACUGUACAGUCACUGUAACCCCUUAGCACAGCUUCAUGUUCUGACUGCUUCACCAUUCUGGCACCUGAUCCAUAUGUUUUCCUGUCAUGUGCCUCAAUUAUCCCCCUGUUCUGUUCAUCCUUUAGUUGUCUUUGGGAAAUGCAUAGAUCUUUUUCUUAUUCUUGGAUUUGAUUGUUCUGCAGCUGUGGGAGGUACAGGAGGCAUAAGAAGUGAAUGAAGAAGAAGGGCAUGAAAGAAACUUCUUGUUAUGUUGAAGAUCAUAUCACAUUGCAGUGUGGACUCUUUAUGUUGUUGAAUCCAGGCAGCCAUGGACAAGUUUCUGGAGAGACACUGAAGGAGAAACAGUCAUGAAGUGGCACAGGAAUCACAAGACAAUCUGCACAGAAAUUCAUCUUUUAUUUCCUAUCCUUAUAUAUCUGUUGUCUCAUUUCAAAACAUUCUGUAUUAGAAAGUUUAUCAUUCUAGUUUGUAAUCUAAUCAAUCUUACAAAGCUUACAAAUACUUUUCAAUGUUCUUGGUGGGACAACUUAAUGAAUUUCAUUGUCUUUCAUAUAAAAGCCCUAGAUGAAUGCAGUCACUUUCAGAUUGGUCUCCCUUU